CAGAACGAACGCUGGCGGCAUGGAUUAGGCAUGCAAGUCGAACGAAGUAGCAAUACUUAGUGGCGCAAGGGUGAGGAACGCGUGAGUGACCUACCCGCAAGUUUGGAACAGCUCCUGGAAACGGGAAUUAAUACCGGAUGUGAUCAAUGGACUGCAUGGUUUAUUGAUUAAAGCAGUAAUGCGCUUGCGGAUGGGCUCGCGUCCCAUUAGCUAGUUGGUGAGGUAACGGCCCACCAAGGCCAUGAUGGGUAGCUGGUCUGAGAGGACGACCAGCCACACUGGGACUGAGAACUGCCCAGACUCCUACGGGAGGCUGCAGUCGAGAAUUUUGGGCAAUGGACGAAAGUCUGACCCAGCAAUGCCGCGUGCGGGAUGAAGGUCUUCGGAUUGUAAACCGCUGUUUGGAGGGACGAAAAUUGACGGUACUUCCAGAGAAAGCCACGGCUAACUACGUGCCAGCCGCCGC
rnacentral:rRNA from 1 species